rnacentral:misc_RNA from 1 species
GAACUGCGAUAAGUAAUGUGAAUUGCAGAAUUCAGUGAAUCAUCGAAUCUUUGAACGCACCUAGCGCUCCUUGGUAUUCCUUGGAGCAUGCCUGUUUGAGUAUCAUGAAAUCUUCAAAGUAAAUCUUUUGUUAACUCAAUUGGUUUCUACUUUGGUAUUGGAGGUCUUUGCAGCUUCACACCUGCUCCUCUUUGUUCAUUAGCUGGAUCUCAGUGUUAUGCUUGGUUCCACUCGGCGUGAUAAGUUAUCUAUCGCUGAGGACACUGUAAAAGGUGGCCAAGGUAAAUGCAGAUGAACCGCUUCUAAUGGUCCAUUGACUUGGACAAUACUUUUAUGAUCUGAUCUCAAAUCAGGUAGGACUACCCGCUGAACUUAAGC